UCCGGGUGUUUUGAAGAGGACCACCAGCGGCUCUGUUUUUUUGAGCCAAGACCUUUACUUGUCAUUCACUUCUUAAGCAGGUGAAAAAUGGCAAACGGUGCCCUGGUUCCUCCAAAGGUGUAGGGCCUGCUGACACAGACUAAUGGGCCGAAGUUCAUGAGGCAGGCAGAGGGCUUGUGCAGAGAGGAGACCAGAGAGGCAGUAAAAGUCAUACAUGUAUUUACAAAUAUAUG
ensembl:lncRNA